rnacentral:misc_RNA from 1 species
GAUGAAGAACGUAGCGAAAUGCGAUACGUAAUGUGAAUUGCAGAAUUCAGUGAAUCAUCGAAUCUUUGAACGCAUAUUGCGCUCUUUGGUAUUCCGAAGAGCAUGCUUGUUUGAGUAUCAGUUAACACCUCAACCUCUUCUUGAUUUUUCAAAAGGAGGGUGGACUUGAGCUAUCCCAACAACCUUUACCGGUCGGCGGGCGGCUUGAAAUGCAGGUGCAGCUGGACUUUUAUCUGAGCUAAAAGCAUAUCUAUUUAGUCCUCGUCAAACAGGAUUAUUACUUUUGCUGCAGCUAACAUAAAGGAUAAUUGUCCUCUUUGCUGACUGAUGCAGGAUUUUACGACACUUUAUGUGUUGUUCAACUCGAUCUCAAAUCAAGUAAGACUACCCGCUGAACUUAAGCAUAUCAAUAAGCGGAGGA